rnacentral:tRNA from 1 species
ACACCCUCUACAGUGA